GCUUGUCUCAAAGAUUAAGCCAUGCAUGUCUAAGUAUAAACUGCUUUAUACUGUGAAACUGCGAAUGGCUCAUUAAAUCAGUUAUAGUUUAUUUGAUGGUACUUACUUACUCGGAUAACCGUAGUAAUUCUAGAGCUAAUACAUGCGACAACCCCUGACUGCUUGCAGAAAGGGCGUAUUUAUUAGAUACAACCAACCCUUCGGGUCCCUGGUGAAUCAUAAUAACUUAGCGAACCGCAUGCUUCGGCGGCGGUGAUUCAUUCAAGUUUCUGCCCUAUCAGCUUUCGAUGGUAGGGUAUUGGCCUACCAUGG
rnacentral:rRNA from 1 species